rnacentral:lncRNA from 1 species
AAUUAUCUUAGGGAGAUGGUCUUCUAUACAGCAACUUGAAGUCUAUCACAGUUUCACUUGUCCAUUUGGAGAAGUUUGUGUCUAGAGUAUGAAGCCAACCAUGGUUUGGGUGGUCCUGGUUGUGAUGUACUUCUGUGGCAUGUUUCCUGUUCCCUGUGGCACUUCUUGUAUGGCCCAUCCAGCAGGGAUGAAGUUGAUCUUCCGGGUGCUUGUGUUUCCAGGAUUUUAGUAGGAUCCAGUCUCCACAACAAAGAUGAUGCAGAGGAACAUCUGACAGUGUCUAGUUCUCUAAUUUGAGUUCUCUCUGGAUCUUUUGGAUCAUCUCUAGAACAGAGGGAGGUCCCCCAAAGUUAGGCCUAUAUUGUAUAAGCAAGUAACCAGGUAUUUAAUAAGAAGAAUUUCUAGGGAAACAAAAAGAAAACAAAGUUAAUGGUUGGAGCAAAUUAUAAACCAAUUCCUGAACCUAGGGGACAGCCAGUCAAGAAUAUUUCUUUUCUUUCUUUCUUUCUUUUUUUUUUAAAGAUUGGCACCUGCACUAACAUCCAUUGCCAAUCUUUGUUUUUUUCUUCUUCUCCCCCAAACUCCCCAGUACCUAGUUGUAUAUUCUAGUUUUGAGUGCCUCUGGUUGUGAUAUAUGGGAUGCUGCCUCAACAUGACCUGAUGAGUGGUGCCAUGUCUGUACCCAGGAUCCAAACCAGGGAAACCCUGGGCCGACAAAGCAGAACAUUCAAACUUCACCACUUGGCCGUGGGGCUGGCCCCUCAAGAAGAUUUCUAAAUGUCAGGGUCAAAGCAUCUUUUGCAGUUUGAAAUGUCUCUGUUGAUGUCAUCAGAUGCUCAGCAUAAACAACGUAACCAGUCUCCUUUUGUUGGGCAUCUAAAUCAGCUCCAAUCUUCUGUUCUCGUCAACAGCACUGAAUGAAUAUCCUUGUGGAUAAUUCAACACGUCCAAGCCACCGUCAUCUCUGGCCUGGAUUAUUGCAAUAGCCCACGAUGGGUCUCCUGGCUUUGGCUCCAGCUCCCUGGCGUCUGGUCCGUACACAGCAGCCGAGGGAGUGCAUUGGAAUCACCUUCUCCCUCUCCCCGAAACGUCUCCCAUGUGCCCUGUCCACUCCCCUCCAGCUAUGGUGCUGCUUCUUGAAGAGAUGCCUGGUCAAGCUGCGCCCUUUCUCAAAGACCUUUGCCGGCUCCCCAUUGCGUAAGAUUUACGUACAAACUCCCUGGACUGGGCUCAGACUUGCCCGCGAGGCUCCCGAAUGACCUUUCCUUCUCUGCUUUACAUGUGACGGAGGCUCGGGACAAACUGGAUUCCUUAGAACGAUGUUUUUGCGCCUCCAUGCCGUUGCUUAGGCUGACCCCUCUACCUGGAGGGCCCUCCUGCAUCUUUGCUUGCCCCAAGUCAGGCCCGGCGUCAGCAUCACCCGCAGCCGAAGCCUUUCCUGAGUAUGUUCUACGGGCACGCCCCCUCCGUCUUCUGGAACCUUGUGCAUGAUCUUCUAUUCUGUCGCAGCACAGCGCCCACUUUCCUUCAAGCCAAGUGUUACUUCGAAUUUCAGGCCAAACGCGGAGCCACAGAAUAGGCACAUUUCCUGCAGUGGCCACAAGAUGGCAGCACAGACCGCGCUUCGGGACAGACGCGGCCUCUAGUUCCUCCCGCCUUCCCAGAGGCCGCAGCCCUAAGAG